rnacentral:rRNA from 1 species
AGAGAGAGACAUGCGCGCAUAUCAAUAAGCGGAGGAAAAGAAACUAACAAGGAUACCCCUAGUAACGGCGAGUGAAGCGGGAAGAGCUCAAAUUUGAAAUCUUAAAGGGUUUCCCUUUACGAAUUGUAGUUUAAAGAAGUGUUUUCUGUUGAGGUUUUGGUAAAAGUUCUUUGGAAUAGGACAUCAUAGAGGGUGAGAAUCCCGUAUUUGACCUUUACUUUCAACUUUGUGAUACACUUUCAAAGAGUCGGAUUGUUUGGGAAUGCAGUCCAAAAUGGGUGGUAAAUUUCAUCUAAAGCUAAAUAUUGGCGAGAGACCGAUAGCGAACAAGUACCGUGAGGGAAAGAUGAAAAGAACUUUGAAAAGAGAGUUAAACAGUACGUGAAAUUGUCAAAAGGGAAGCGUUUGACACCAGUGUUGUUUUUCUGAAAAUCAAUUAAAGAACUGUUUAUGCUAAGUUGUUUAGACUUUAUCAGCUAACUGUUUAGUUUUGAGCUUUUCUUUAAUGCACUUUUCAGUUAACAAGUCAACAUCAAUUUCUUUUGCUGUAAAAAAGCUUGAGGAAGGUGGCUUGAGAUUCGUCUUAAGUGUUUAUAGCCUCUUGCCUAUGCAGUCGGAGAGAUUGAGGUCUGCAGCGUAGAUCCUUCGGGGCUAAAUGCAUUUGUGCUAAGUUAUAGCAUUUUAUAGACAACUUGUUGACUAUGAUUUGUCUUGUAGCUUACUCGCUUAUGUUAUUUUACCUACGCUUAGGAUGUUGAGCGCAUGUCUCUCUCU